ensembl:lncRNA
ACUUUUUGACAUAAGAACACAAUGCAAGUUUACAGAAUACCAUGCAUUAUCCAAUAUUAUACCAGUUGUUCCAAACAUUUAAGCUUGUGACCUUUUUGACAAAAGGGUGAGGAAGACAACAAGGAAGAAGAUGCAAAUGCAGACUACCAGACGGACAGGAACAGUUUAUGGACUUAUUGCAAAAGGCCUGACUAGGGGAAGUAGAGACAGAUCAGGUGACUGGGACUGGACGGAUGGGGAAGUGAGAUGCUGGUGACGACCACUUCCAUCCACUGGACAAGAAAAAAAAG